AGAGUUUGAUCCUGGCUCAGAGCGAACGCUGGCGGCAGGCCUAACACAUGCAAGUCGAGCGCGUGUAGCAAUACACGAGCGGCAGACGGGAGAGUAACACGUGGGAACGUACCCUUCGGUUCGGAAUAACCCAGGGAAACUUGGAUUAAUACCGGAUACGUCCGAAAGGAGAAAGAUUCAUCGCCGAAGGAUCGGCCCGCGGCUGAUUAGCUAGUUGGUGAGGUAACGGCUCACCAAGGCGACGAUCGGUAGCUGGUCUGAGAGGAUGAUCAGCCUCACUGGGACUGAGACACGGCCCAGACUCCUACGGGAGGCAGCAGUGGGGAAUAUUGGACAAUGGGCGCAAGCCUGAUCCAGCCAUGCCGCGUGGGUGAUGAAGGCCCUAGGGUUGUAAAGCCCUUUCGGCGGGGAAGAUAAUGACGGUACCCGCAGAAGAAGCCCCGGCUAACUUCGUGCCAGCAGCCGCGGUAAUACGAAGGGGGCUAGCGUUGCUCGGAAUCACUGGGCGUAAAGCGCACGUAGGCGGAUCGUUAAGUCGGAGGUGAAAUCCUGGAGCUCAACUCCAGAACUGCCUUCGAUACUGGCGAUCUUGGAGU
rnacentral:rRNA from 1 species